GAUGAAGAACGUAGCGAAACGCGAUAAGUAGUGUGAAUUCCAGAAUUCAGUGAAUCAUCGAAUCUUUGAACGCACAUUGCGCCCCUUGGUAUCCCGAGGGGCAUGCCUGUUCGAGCGUCAUUUCACCACUCAAGCCUGGCUUGGUGUUGGGCGACGUCCCCUUUGGGGACGCGCCUCGAAACGCUCGGCGGCGUGGCACCGGCUUUAAGCGUAGCAGAAUCUUUCGCUUUGGAAGUCGGGGCCCCGUCUGCCGGAAGACCUACUCGCAAGGUUGACCUCGGAUCAGGCAGGGAUACCCGCUGAACUUAAGCAUAUCAAUAAGCGGAGGA
rnacentral:misc_RNA from 1 species